rnacentral:rRNA from 1 species
UACGUAGGGUGCGAGCGUUGUCCGGAAUUACUGGGCGUAAAGAGCUCGUAGGUGGUUUGUCGCGUUGUUCGUGAAAACUCACAGCUCAACUGUGGGGCGUGCGGGCGAUACGGGGCAGACUGGAGUACUGCAGGGGGAGACUGGAAUUCCUGGUGUAGCGGGUGGAAUGCGCAGAUAUCAGGGAGGGAAACACCCGGGUGGGCGAAAGG